AUAAGAAUUACCUGGGAAUCUUGUUAAAAUGCAGAUUCUGAAUCUGCAUUAUUGAGUCCUGAGAUUCUGAGUUUCUAAAUAUCUCCCAGGUAGUGCUGAU
rnacentral:miRNA from 1 species